rnacentral:tRNA from 1 species
CAGAAGUGGCGGAAUUGGAAGACGCUCUCCUGGAGGAGGCGAGAGCAAAAUCCAACAGUCUCUCGUGCAGGUUCAAGCCCUGCCUUCUGUA